UACGAAGGGGGCUAGCGUUGCUCGGAAUGACUGGGCGUAAAGGGCGCGUAGGCGGUUCGUACAGUCAGACGUGAAAUUCCCGGGCUCAACCUGGGGCUGCGUUUGAUACGUGCGGGCUUGAGUUCGGAAGAGGGUCGUGGAAUUCCCAGUGUAGAGGUGAAAUUCGUAGAUAUUGGGAAGAACACCGGUGGCGAAGGCGGCGAGCCGUGGUCCGA
rnacentral:rRNA from 1 species